CGUUCUGCGCAUGACAGCUGUUAGGCCAGAGGUGUCAAGGUCGCAUAGGACUAGCAACUUACAUUUGUGAGGAAGUCGUCGUAAACCAAGAUAAUUGAUUGGCCUCAGACCAUCAUGGACAGUGAAGUUGUGAGAGAUGGACGUCUAAUGGAGAUGGUGGAUGAAAAAUGGCGAGAAGACAAAUUACCAAUGGAAGACAUUGCAGUCCCCCAGAUGGAGCUACCCGAACUAGAACCUGACAACGGCCCUAGCAACGAAACGCUGCGCGAACAAGAACAAAAAUGGACAGAUUUGGCACUUUCACGUCUCCAUGAGCAACCACCCCUAUCAAACUCAAAUGGCUGAAACUGUGGUUGCUUACAUCAUGAAUAGGAGCUGUAUCCAUCAAUAUACAGCUAAAAACUUAAAAUUAUAUAGUGUUAAAUGGGAACAAUUGUGAAUUGUUCCUGCAAAAUACUCCACCGUAAAACACAUGAAUUAGUCAACACUGAACUGUUUGAUGCUCAUAGAGAAUUAAUUUCCAUGUUGGACAGAUCCAUGACUUUGGUAUGAACACUUUUAAUGAAGGAUUCCUGUCCCACGGCAGGCAAAACAGUAGAUAAUUCCACAUUGGUUUUGUUUUGUUAUUGGGUUACCUCCCUUUAAAUUGGUUUUAGAUAUAUGUACAUGUAUGUAACAAAGGCAUGUCAGUCCCGGGGUACUCUAUUGACAGGGAAACUCAGUAAAUUAGAGAGACUGUAUGAUGACCAGAGGUCUCAGAUUUUAAUUCUUACUCUCAGAACACUGUUAUUUCUUGCUGUUUAUUGUCUUCAUAAAAACAUGUACAUUGCAUGUUUUCUUCAAAAUGGAUUCAUUUAGAGGUAAAGUAAUGCAUUGAAUGCAUAGUUAAAACUUUCAUCUGUAGUACAGGGGUCCUCACAACCAUACUACUGUUCAGUGUUCUGUUAAAUGAGAUGAGUUUGUCAGAAUAAACACCUAUAUUUAUUACAUA